UUAAAUGGCCGCGGUAUUUUGACCGUGCUAAGGUAGCAUAAUCAUUAGUUUUUUAAUUGAAAGCUGGAAUGAAAGGUUGAAUGAAAAAAUUUCUGUCUCAGUUUAAUUUUAAUAGAAUUUUAUUUUUAAGUUAAAAAGCUUAAAUUUGUUUAAAAGACGAGAAGACCCUAUAGAGUUUAAAAAUUAUUUAAUUUUAAAAAUUUAGAAUUUAAUUAUAAAUUUAAAUAUUUCUUUAAUUGGGGUGAUUAAAAAAUUUAAUUAACUUUUUUUUUAUUAAAAUAUAAAUAUAUAAAUUAAUGAUCCAAUAAUUUUGAUUAUAAGAAAAAAUUACCUUAGGGAUAACAGCGUAAUUUUAUUAGAGAGUU
rnacentral:rRNA from 1 species